UAUAUAUAUAUGAUUCACGAACACUGAAAAUAUCCAGGCUGGUCUCGGGCUAGGAACCCAUGUCAGUCAAAAUGAAUAUUGAUUGCUACCCAAAGUCUCUAUAUGUAGCCCUGGCUGACCUUGAACUCACUCUGUAGACCAGGCUGCCCUCCGACUCACAGAGAUCUGCAGGGGUCACCAGGCCAGCCCCCUUUCCCCUCAGAGGCCAGGCUGCUCUCUUCCCUGUUGCUCCAAGCCCUGCCUGCCUGUGUGACCUCACACUGUAGGGAGCAUGUGCACUAAGGUCAGCCCCUUUCUGCUCCUGCCUGUGGUCCUGCUACUCCAGAAGCUGAGGCAAGGGGAUAGCUUGAGCCUAUGAAUUUGAAACCAGCCUGUGCAACAUGGUGGGAUCUCCGAACACAAGAAAAGAGCCUCUUCAGAGGAGUCCAGCCCAGUGGCCCAUCCUCUUCCCUUCAGCCUUUGAUCUGCAGCUUGGUUCUGGCCCACGGGCCUUCCCUCUGCCUCUGGAGCCUCCCUGGUGACCCUUCUUUUCCUCUAAGUACAGUCACAAGGCUCUUACAACCCUUGAUCUCCUAUUGUCCAUUAUAAUCCCAUGGGAAUCGUUUCUGACUUUAAUCUGGAUGCCUUUUUGAAAGGAAAGCAAUAAAAAUGAAUAAACAUG